CAGCCUUUAUGCCCUUAAAAUCCCCCCCAAAACUCGGAGUGCAACACAUUUACUUUUCUGGGUUUCAAACCAAAACGGAUAGCAGCUGCAGAGUGCCAGCAGUCAGAACAGGUCAGAAUAAUAUGAGUGAGUGCAGAGCACUUGAAAUGAGGGCCUGUUCACAGUAAGAGUAACAAUGGCCUAUAGAAACAUUUGUGGCAGAAACAUUGUAAACUUGCCAAUAGCGUAAUUUUUUUCAGAUAUUUCAUUGGCUGAAAAAAAAGAAACUUAAAUAAAAUAGGCUGCUAUAACUGGAUCAUUUUUCUGAUAUUGUAUGUUUUCUGCUGUUCAUUUGACUGGAGCUUAGUGAAAUUACAUGCUAAAAUAAGCGUUUGCUUUCUGGAGAAAAAGCCAUUUGGCAUUUGCUGGUGACUAUGAACAAAUGCACCACGUUCUCUGAAUUUUCUCUAAAGGCCUGUGAUGUGUUUAAUACUGUAUGAAAGCCAACCAGGGCUUCUCACUGUAAAACAGCGUCUGAUUGGGCAGUGUGACAGCCAGGGCUUCGCGCUGUAAAACAGCAUCUGAUUGGUCAGUGUGAAGCGCUAAUAUAAGGCUGAUUUAUUUACAUGUUCAUUAAUCACACAUGACUGCCAACGCUGUCCAUUUGUCAACCACUCUUUAAUGUGUGCCGUUGGUCUCCGACACGUCUGCUUCCGUUCUGCUGGAGGGAAAAGAGCAGAAAGAGAUUUUGUACCCCAUUUCAGUUCAGCUGAGUAAACCUGGUGUUCAGAGCACAAGGUUUGAAGCACUGGUACUGGUGAUGUUUUCAGUGUGAGGUAUUUCACCAGAAUGUUACUGAAAAUGGCACCUUUCACAAUUCCUAUUUUUAUUUUUACUGUAUAUGUUUCUCACCCUCCUUAUAAGAAAUAAAUUGGUCACUUUUUCCUUAUCAGUUUGGGGUAGGCUGUUUGAAAUGUUUUUACAGAACUCUUAUCUACAAUCUCUGUAAAAAAAGAAUUUGCUGUGAACAGUCUCACAUGGGAAUGUUUUUGAGCCAUUGUCUCAUUUUAGCAUAUUUAAUGACUGUUUCACAAAAUGCUUUUCAGAAUGUGUGAAUCAGGUUAUUGGCUACAAGUGAAGUGAGUUUGGUGAAUGUGACCUUCUUAGAUUAUAAAGCAAAAUAAAAAGCAAAAAAAACAAAAAAACACCUUUUUCCAAAGACAACGGAUUGGCACCAUUAGAAGGAGCAGAUUUGGGCAUCACACCAGCGUGGUCCGUGACACACUUUGGCUGCACGUCCGUUUCUGGCAUCAUCUUGCCGAAGGCUGAACAGCUUUAGCCUGACAGCCGUCUGAAUUCUGUCUCUGGCUUUGCCUGGCCAUUGUUGUCUGAGUUGUGUUCCUUGUGUGUCUGUGUGUCUAGGAUGGUUUUGCCUGCAUUUCUAUAGCUGCUAAUGCUAAGUGGUUCAUUUGAGUGUGGUCAUACAAUUGUCAUACAACAUUGCAUGUUAGACAUUGAUGCUUUUGCUACCGUUAAUGUUAUGUUUAGUUUCUUUGUUAUCUCAAUAAUUCAGUGUCCCAAAUUUUACCAAUUGUUUUACUGGAAUACCCAUCUCUGAAAUAUUGCCAUAAAGGACAUAUAUUUUUUUGUUAUUAGGAUACAAUAUUCAACCGAUAAGCUGCUGCAACAGUCUGUCAUUCAGUCAACAGGAAAAUGUCAUGUGGGGUUCAAGUUUGAUUCAUCAAAUAUAUUACAUAUUCAGCCAAACCCAAAUACUCAUAAAAAGCAGAUGAAUCUGAAACCCAACACUGAAUUCACUACAGCCCUAGAAAAAACCCUGGAGUUUAAAUAGAUGAGAGCAUCAAGUCCUCUAUUGGUCACGAGGUUAUGAAGAGGUCGGCAGCAUGUAUGGCUGUUUACAGGUGUGCAUGCGUCUCACGCAGUUUCAACAUUUAUUUUUUAAGCUCAGGGAAAGGAGGUGAAAAAUUCCCCUUAUCCUUUAUAAAUUACAUUUUGUGCCAUCAGUAUUGUUCCAGUGCAGUGUGCAGUGUGCAGUGUGCAGUGUGCAGUGUGCAGUUUCCGUAAGUAUGUUGUUUAAUAUUUUUGUCGCAAAAUAUUAUAUUGCAUUUAAACUUUAUUUUAACCAAGUAUAAACCAUUCAAACCCACACUGUUUAAUGAAACCAAAUGACAUUCCCCUACUUCACUAAAUAUAUAGGCUUGCAGAACUGUGUAUAUAAAUGUUCAUGUGACUGGAUGUCGUAUGUGUUGGUUUUUACAAUGCUUUACAAAUGAGAAAAAGUAAUCUGGAAUGGAAAAUAUGUAGAAAUACAAACGUCUAUACACACAGAAAGACCUGUGAGAUUCUGCGUCCAAAAUGUGGAGGGCACUCUACAUUCCUGUAAUAUUCUGAAGAAAAAAUUGAGAUUUAAUGUGCAGUGUUGUUAAGGUUGUUGUGAUUAAUAGGUAACCAGUAGUCAUGGUUUGUAGAUUAAGCUCAAUUUGGACUCUGCUAAUGUAGGGAAAACAAAAGUACAGUUUUUUUAUUUUAUUUUUUACUGAAAGUGCUCCACAAAUAAACAGAGAAGCCUAUUUGUGUUUUA